rnacentral:tRNA from 3 species
UAAAGAAUAGUUUAAUUGAAAAACAAAGGUUUUUGAUACCUUUAAUAUAAAUUCAUAAUUUAUUUUUUUAA